UCACUGCUGGCCUUCUCCUGCUGUACAUCCUGCUGUGCUACGAGCAUUUCCAUUUCCAUGUGGCUCAUGUAUAUGCUCGCCUGGGGUACCCCAAUGCCCAGCACAUCCUGGCCCAGAGGUAUUUGCAAGGAGCUGGAGUGGAAAAAAAUGAGGACAUGGCCAUGCACUGGUUCAGGCAGGCUGCAGGACAGGGCCAUCCCCACUCCUCCUUCAACCUGGCAGUGGGGACACUCAGAAACAUGACCAUGGCACUUGAAGAAGGGGAAGUGGAGAAGCUCCUCAGUGUGGCAGCAGCCCACGGGCUCCUAGAAGCUCAGCAACUUUUGGAAAACAUCUUCAAGAGCAGAAACCUUCCCUGAGUGACAGCUGCAACACCAGUGCUCAUCCAACCUUGCCUUCUUCUGCACUCAGCUACCCCACCUUCUCCCUGCCCAGUGUCUAAUCUUCAGGAAUUUGAAUCAUUCACUGCACAUUACAUUUGCUUUGUGCUGCAUCUCCAUGGUCAGGUCCAUAGCAUUUCUCCAUUUGCUUCCUGGCUUGCCCCUUCUGAAGACCACAGGAAAGGUGAGGUGGAGGGGAUCAAUAGCCUUUAGGGUUAUACUGAUGACGAGCAUAUGAACAUUUUUGAAAAAACUUCCAUCACUGUUGCACCAACUCAUCUGCUAAUACUAAAUUAGAUCCAAAUAUUGAUCUGGGCCUGGUGCAGUGUUGCUUGCAUGUUUGUGGCACCUUUCAUGCUCUGCUCAGCAUUGUGAUAACUCAUCACAACUAAGACUUUUUAUCACUGUAAAUCAGCAUGACAUGCACACAUGAUCCAUUUGUAUUGGAAAUGACAGUGAUUUAAUAGAAAAUAGAAAUUAUGCUCUCACUUAACAGCUAUUGUUCCUUAUCAACAUUACCAUUGUCAUGCCAGUUCUGGGGAAAAGUAAUUCAAUUUAAUGGAAACUGCCUUCAUUUUCAGGGUGGUCGCAGUUUAAAACCUCAGUGAGCAAUUGCAUUUCAUAGGAAGUGCACUCACUAAACAAAGCCCUGUAGAGUUUUGCUAGCAAUAAAAUU